CGGAUACUAGCGCCGGGUCAGACGUCCGGGCGCUAGCAGUCCCGUUACUACAUCUCACGCUGCUAACCUCACGAGCGCGCCACCCCUGCCCACUCGCACGCAGUGUAGAGCAGUCGAUGCAUGUGUUGAAACACAUGCCAAGAUACGGACAUCUCAAGCGGAUAAGUGAUUGCCGUCGCAGUGUUGUUUGAAGCCAGGCCCAGCCAAGUCAAACACGUGCGCGCACGUGGGGCUAUUAUCUCUCGUCUUUGUCUAGAAUAUAAGAAAAAAAA